rnacentral:tRNA from 1 species
GGCUCCAUAGUUCAGUGGUUAGAGCGCUGGUCCUAUAAACCAGGGGUUGCAAGUUCAGAAUCUCACUGGAGCCU